GGCAAGUUCCGAUUAAAGUUAUCAGGUGUGGAUGCCUCACCCUACUCAAAAUCUCUACCCCAUUUUGGAAAUCUAACUGGCUCUGAGAGCCGUAAGAGGGUAACAUCUUGAUGGCAACAUGAACAUGGCGAAGGAUCCCUUUGUAGACAUUUCCAUAUCUUCCCUCUCCAAUCCUCCAGGAAGGAUCGAAUUCCUGCCUGAGUUGCCUGAUUGAUCUCCAUGAAAGAGAAUUCAAGGAUUUCAGACCUACAAAAGCU
rnacentral:misc_RNA from 1 species